AAUAACUGAUAAGCAAUUAUCUGUUUACUGUGAACCGUAUCAAUUAUUAUUAACCAAAAGAAUUCAGUUUAAUUAUUGUAACAUAGACUUAAAAAAUCUAUAAAA
rnacentral:misc_RNA from 1 species